rnacentral:rRNA from 1 species
CAGCUCAAAUUUGAAAUCUGGCUACCUUUCGUAGUCCGAGUUGUAAUUUGUAGAGGAUGCUUUUGGUGAGGUGCCUUCCGAGUUCCCUGGAACGGGACGCCAUAGAGGGUGAGAGCCCCGUACGGUUGGAUACCAAGCCUCUGUAUAGCUCCUUCAACGAGUCGAGUAGUUUGGGAAUGCUGCUCUAAAUGGGAGGUAUAUCUCUUCUAAAGCUAAAUAUAGGCUAGAGACCGAUAGCGCACAAGUAGAGUGAUCGAAAGAUGAAAAGCACUUUGAAAAGAGAGUUAAACAGCACGUGAAAUUGUUGAAAGGGAAGCGCCUAUGACCAGACUUGUUUCUGGCAGUUUUGUUAGCCCUCGGGCUGAUUUACUCUGUCCAGUACAGGCCAGCAUCAGUUUGCUGUCGGGGAGAAAGGCUCUGGGAAUGUAGCUCCCCCCUUCUAGGGGGGAGUGUUAUAGCCCUCUGCAUAAUACCCUUCGGCAGACUGAGGACCGCGCUUCGGCAAGGAUGCUGGCGUAAUGGUCAUCAGCGACCCGUCUUGAAACACGGACCAAGGAGUCAACCUUAUGUGCGAGUGUUUGGGUGUAAAACCCCAGCGCGUAAUGAAAGUGAACGUAGGUGAGAGCUUCGGCGCAUCAUCGACCGAUUCUGAUGUUUUCGGAUGGAUUUGAGUAAGAGCACACAGGGUUGGACCCGAAAGAAGGUGAACUAUGCUUGUAUAGGGUGAAGCCAGAGGAAACUCUGGUGGAGGCUCGCAGCGGUUCUGACGUGCAAAUCGAUCGUCAAAUAUGAGCAUGGGGGCGAAAG